UACGAAGGGGGCUAGCGUUGCUCGGAAUUACUGGGCGUAAAGGGCGCGUAGGCGGAUGUUUAAGUCGGGGGUGAAAGCCCAGGGCUCAACCCUGGAAUUGCCUUCGAUACUGGACAUCUUGGAGUGCGGGAGAGGUGAGUGGAACUCCGAGUGUAGAGGUGAAAUUCGUAGAUAUUCGGAAGAACACCAGUGGCGAAGGCGACUCACUGGCCCGUUACGUGACGCUGAUGCGCGAAAGCGUGGGGAGCAAACAGG
rnacentral:rRNA from 1 species